rnacentral:rRNA from 1 species
GACAGAGGCCUCAAGCGUUAGGCGGAAUCACUGGGCUUAAAGCGUGUGUAGGUGGAUGAGUAAGUACCUUGUGAAAUCCCACGGCUCAACCGUGGAACUGCUUGGUAUACUGCUUGUCUUGAGGCACUCAGGGGCGAGCGGAACAGAUGGUGGAGCGGUGAAAUGCGUAGAUAUCAUCUGGAACGCCAAUGGUGAAGACAGCUCGCUGGGGGUGUACUGACACUGAGACACGAAAGCCAGGGGAGCAAACGGG